AGAAGAAGAGGGGGAAGACACCACAACCAACCCAACCCACCGAUGACCACCACCGCCGAUGACACCAACGAAGAAGAUGCCUCGCCUCCAGAUCGUUGUCCACCGCCGUACGCCAACGAGCUUCGAAUCACAAUCACUAGUAUUGAUUUCGAACGCACACGAAGGUCUCGACCACCACGGCCGCCAUACGCCAAUGAAGAUUUUUUAGAAGAAUCCUACCAAGAUUAAGAACAAGGAGUAUCGCAACACCACUUUGAAUGGUGUUAUGCAAGAGGGGAUCUCCUUUUUGCAGAACUACUACUGUCCCAUAUCAUUAAAACUCCUACUGUCCUAGCAAGAGGGAGACCACAAAGCAAUUCCACAACUCCAAAAUCAAGUUCCGCUUGGUGUAUGGAGUGUCCAACCAAGAAGAGAUGUUAGCGACACUUUAGGACUUUUGUUUUUAUUUUGCUUGUAAUAUAGCUUAGGGUAGACGAUGAUGAUGUUUGGCUCAUGGCCUUUGCUUCAAUUUGACAAUGUUUCAAGGCUUGUUUAAAAAGAUACAAGUUUGUACUCCAUUUUUGUUGCUUGGUACAUUAUGAAAUUCAAAUAUCACUAUGGUGUCAACUUCUUGGAACUUCUCUACAUAGGUUUUCUUGAUGAUUUAUUGUCCU